GCUUGGGUAGUUUAAUUAAAACGUUGGUUUGUGGAUUCGAUAAUGCAUUUUUGCCUCAGGUU
rnacentral:tRNA from 1 species